AAGUAAGAAGCGAUAUAAAUUGCACUCAGUUUCGACCUGAUACUAGGUAUUCACUUACCCUUACUUU
rnacentral:tRNA from 1 species